rnacentral:rRNA from 1 species
UACGAAGGGGGCUAGCGUUGCUCGGAAUCACUGGGCGUAAAGCGCACGUAGGCGGAUUGUUAAGUCAGGGGUGAAAUCCUGGAGCUCAACUCCAGAACUGUCUUUGAUACUGGCGAUCUUGAGUCCGGGAGAGGUGAGUGGAACUCCGAGUGUAGAGGUGAAAUUCGUAGAUAUUCGGAAGAACACCAGUGGCGAAGGCGGCUCACUGGCCCGGUACUGACGCUGAUGUGCGAAAGCGUGGGGAGCAAACAGG